AGUCGCAGUCGGCGGAGGAAUGGGCCGGCAUUCCGGACCGCACGACGCACUGCGCAUGCGCGGGCUGCUCCGCCUGUCCGGCGACCCCCUCUUCCCCAUCCCCAUCCCACCAACCGCCAGUAACCGUCACCGCGUAACCGAAUUCUGUACUUAUUUUUAUAUGUAUGUAUAAUUGUUGAAACACUUGCUGUCCAACUAUCCACUGCAUCAAACUUUUUCCAGCAACGGUCCCCAGGGAUCUGCGUGCCUCACCCCACUCCGACGAGGUGAAAGAGCGGACAGGAUCCCCCCACCAUGUGUCGGCUCCGCCAAGAGCAAGCGCCAUGUGGAUUCUCGCGGCACACACAGCGGCGAACUGCCCCGUACUGGACGGGACUUUACGUAUCUUGGAGCUGAAGUAACUACCCCGUAUCUUGAGCUGAAGGAAUAACCCCUUAUUUACGGCUAAAGGAAUUAUUAUGGAGAUGAAGGAAUCACAUCUUAUAGCGGUGCUGAAGGAAUUACUCAUCCCUAGGGCCAUGCAUAUUUCGCGAAACGAUUCCGAGACUAAGCUGAAAGCCAAAACACUGUAGCAUCGUCUGUGUUUCGUGAUUGGGUGGGUUUCUGUCAGGUGCAUGUCUACUGUUGGAACACCAAUCACACUAAUUCAGCGCGGAAACCAAAGCUUCCUGAGUGGCUCGGUCAAAUGAGGCAACGGCUUCUCUCGCAGACGGCCGCCAAUCACAAGGAAGAAACCGCUUGUGCGCAGGGCCGCAACUAGAGUCUCUGGCACCCGGGGCAUGAAGCCGGGUUUAUAGAAAACGCAAGAACGCAGAAACGCAAGAACGCAGGACGCGACAACCGCAAGAAAUUCACAGUCGUUUAUAAAAAACGCAAGGACGCCGGCCAUCGCCAACGUCAAAAAUUAAAAUUUCAGGAUUAAGUCAUGAUUAUUUUUAAAAUCUUUGUUGUACUUAGCGUACAGGUAGGGAAAAUUUUGGAUAAGCUGAACAAGAAAUUCAUCAGCUUCCUCCAUUGCGCUGUAUUCACUUGAAGAAUGCCAGCCCAAAACAUAAAUAAACACAAGCGUAGCGAUUAAUUACAAUCGCAGAGCCUUUUAUAUGCAUUACAUAACAGUUUCAGUUUCCACAUACUAAGCAACCAGUAUAGAAGGCCGAAACGCAAGAAGUAGAAAGUUGAACAACUUCUGCGUUGCGUUCUUGCGUGUCUUGCGUUUUUUAUAAACGUGCUGGUAGAAGAGUUAAGGUUGGACUUUUACCGUAGUUGCGUUUCUUGCGUUUCUGCGUUUUCUAUAAACCCGGCCUGAAUGGAUUCAUGCGCCCCCCCCCCCCCCUCUUUUUUGCACAUACCACACCAAUAAAUCGGGGGGUCCGGGGGCCCUCUCACGGAAAAAUGGUGCUAUUUAAGCAUUUUCCAUACCUACAUGUAACAGUUUCUGUGCUACUGUACCUUCCAUGCAUGAACUCACUAUGUCCAUAAAGUAGUCCGUAUAAUCACUAGACUUGUUCAUUAAAUAUAUGUUGAGACGUUAUAUUGUAAAUCAGAUUAGACAUUCCUGGCAUGCAAGUUAAAAAAACUUUUUACCAGUUACCAGUUGUAGUAGGAAUUACAAUGCAAGCCGGUGAUUUUGGCGCCCCCACAGCUUUGCGCCCGGGGCGUAUGGCCCGCUUGCCCCCCCCCCCCCCCCCUAGUUCCGGCCCUGCUCGUGCGGGUAUACCUUGUUGCAGUCUAAUAGGCGUUCACAUGUUUUCGCGAAAAUUGCCUGCCCUUACUCAUCCCGUAUCUUAAGAGCUGACGGAAUCACACAGUAUCCUUGAGCUGAUGGAAUCGCCCAAAUAGUUAGAUUGAUCAUCACCCAUAAUAUGUUUGUGCUGAAGGAACUAUCCUGUAUCUUAGAGCUUACGGAAUAAUAAUGUAAUUUAGAGCUGACUGCACCAUCCCGUAUCUUGGCUCGGACGAAUAAACACGAAUAUUAGAACUUAUGGAAUCACCCAGUGUCUUAAGAACUGACGGAAUUAUCCUGAAUAUUAAAGCUAACGGAAUCAUACUGUAUCUAAGAGCUGAUGGAAUAAACCUGUAAGCUUGAGCUGACGUAAUCACCUCAUAUCUUACAGGUGAAGGAAGUCCCCUGUAUGUAUGUAUAAUUGCAAACGGAACAUCUUUCAUCACAUUAUGUUUGGCAAGUAUGCCUAAUAUUUAUUAGUUGUUCAUCAUUUUUUUGGCUCCCUCAGUUUGCUGAUCUAGCGAAACCAGAUUUUGUCAACAAAUAUAUGGCAGUCGAGCUUUUGUUUACACCAAGCAAAGAAAAAAAUAUAUAAUCACCACUGCAAAAAUAUUAACUUAAGUAUGUCAUUGCAUAGAAUUAUUUAGAAAAUAUAAAUUAUUCCUAAUUUUGAAGAAAAUCAUCCUACAUAAAUUACUUAUAGUUAUAUUAGUUAAAAAAAUAUUUUAUCCUAAUUCAGAUGAAAAAGUUACCACUUAAAUUACUGGUUGAAAAAGCAUUUCACAACCAUAUGUGGUCAGAAAUAAAGGUACAAAGAAUGGAAACCACUGAAGUUUUAGUUUAUUUUGACUUCUCAGAUUCUGCACCUAACUUACUACUGGAUUCCAAGGUUCUUCCCACCAAGCGCCUCUGUCUCAUCGGCUUCUUGUAAAACAGAAAACUUAUAUAAUAAAAAAAUUACCUUAUUCCAUCUUGUCCUAGAUGAGACAAUAUUGCAUAUAGGAUGGUGAAGUUGUGAAUGGGACAUCAACACUAAUUUGUAAGUGGGUCAUUGUAACACUGCAAUGAUGCAUUAAGGUAUCCACAUCAUGACUAAGCAUAAGUAAUGUUACCAUUUAUAACUCUUGAUAUUACUAAACAGCAAUUUUCCAGCCAUAUUUUUUUUUUAAACACAAAACAAAAAGCUUAGCCACUUUAUUUUAUGGCGUAAACUUAAUCAUGCACAUGCUGUAGGCCUACAUUAAAUAUAAAGCCUUGUAAAAUACUGAAAUAUUUUUUUUUUGAUAAACAUUCGAACUAAUGGCCAUCUCUUUUCAUUCGACAGUGAGUCACAAAUUGAGGGGUGUGGUUACUUCUGUUAGCAGCUGUUGCACUGUGGGUUAGCCUUAUGAUAUAAAGAAAAAUAAUUAAUAAAAAAAUUAAUUUUCAAAUUAUGUAUAUAUUUUUGAUGUAAGCUAGCUGUCUGACGAGACACUUCUCGACAGUACUGCCACACGCUAACUUGGUGCCACACCUCCAAGGCCAACAAUCUUUGUUUUUAAACAACUUUUAGCUCUAGUUCUGUUGUUUAUACUUAAAAUGUACGGCUUGUUCCUAAGGCCUAUCCAGUGAUCUAAUAGUGUGAAAAGUGUAAUUUUUAUAUUUAAGUAUUCAUUAUUUAUAUUUUAAUGUUUUGUACUUUAUGAAUUUAAUACUAUGCUGUAUACAUCAGAGACUCAACAAAUCAGUGCACUUAAUUUUGGCCUGGAAGCACAAUUUUGGACAAAUAAAAAACCAAAUGUGAAA